AAAUUAACGAUCGCUUUUUGCUUAUUCCUAAAAUAAAUUAUCCAUCCAAACUGCAAUGUAAACUUACUACAUGCAUUCAUGAAGGUACAAAACACAAACAUAGAAACUUCAAACCUCAAGCUACCGAUUUCUUCUGAUUCGGCUCAAACACAUAUUUUAUGAGCGACUCCUUAAUCGGCAGAAGCUCGGGGAAUUCAGUCUUCAGUU
rnacentral:misc_RNA from 1 species